GAGGUGUUCAUGCUCCAUAAAUGUGUACGUUAUGAACUGUGGGACCAUCUUCAGCUUGGGCAGUACAGUGAUGCUUCAGACAAGACUGGAAGCAGAAGCAGAGUGGCGCAGGAAUCCAUGGGACGUGACUUCUGCACUUUUGGUGGCCAUCAAGAACUAUUAGGCUGUGACUGUUCCGGAGUAAGCACAGAUUUUACAACUGCACUGCUCCAUGGAGCGCAAGGGAGGCGUGUCUUAUACCAGCUGAGGAUCUGUCUUCAGAUACAACCAGGCAGUGCAGAAUGUGCCUGGGGCAGGCUUCCACAGGGAUCCGGCCUGGCAUUCCGGGCAAUCUGCAGCUUGUCACCCAGUACAGAUUGUUUGGCCUGUAUGAUGCAGGUAAGUGCUCACACAUCUGAAUCUCCCGCUUCUAGAUCAUGUGGUGUUGGCUCAUGGUGGCAUAAGGUUGAUAGCUUAUUUGUUGCAGAUAUGCUGCAAUAACAAAGCAACACUCAAUUUUUACUUAAAAUAGGAACACAGCUGUGAAUCUGGAUCUCCUUACCAUCAGGCAAUGCCUAGUGAAAGAAAAGAUAGAUUUUUUUUUUUUUUUUAAUGGGAAAAGUAACAGGCACUAAAAAGUAACUACUCUGCUUCAUCAGCUGGGAAUGGAGUUGGACUGUGAGUGCUGAGGAGUCCCCAGUGCAUCCUGAAUGCUGCUGGCUCUGGUGAUGCCAGAGAGUGGACAGAUGAAAAGGAUGCAAGAGACUGUCCCUGGAGAGAAAACAAGGCAGCGCUUACCUGCCUGGCAGGGAGCAGCUAUUCCACUGCCGAGAGGGAGCCUUUACAGCUUACAUGACUUGUGUGUGCGCACGUAUGAUACAAAAUACAGUCCUGUGUGCAGCAGGAGGUAUCUUACAGCUAUUGCAACUCUUGUGAUUUCCAGAUCGUACAUGGUUGUGCGUGGGUUCAUUUUUUAAAAAAGUAAAUUACCUACCAGCUCAGACUGAGAUCUGAUGUAAACUGCAAAAUUGCUAGUAACAAAGGUUCAAGCAAACUUUUCGCCUUGGUGACAUCUUUACAACCUGCUGCUUGAACACUUUUAACUGGGUGUAGGUGGCUAUGUAAUUGGAAUUUUCUGCUGAUGAAAUGAAGGGAGGCAUCUAGUUUAGUGCCCCUUUCUUUAACCCAACAA